rnacentral:rRNA from 1 species
UGAGGAACAUGACCUCCGGCGGGGGAUAGCCGGCCCAACGGCCGGGUAAUACCGCGUACGACCACAUGGGGGACAUCCCUGAGUGGUGAAAGCAGCAAUGCGCCGAUGGAGUGCCUCGCGGCCUAUCAGCUAGUUGGUGAGGUAACGGCUCACCAAGGCGACGACGGGUAGCUGGUCUGAGAGGAUGGCCAGCCACACUGGAACUGAGAUACGGUCCAGACCUCUACGGGAGG